rnacentral:lncRNA from 1 species
AUGCAAAACAAGUUAAGCAAGCAUACCACAGUCUACUUCAGUGAACAAACUAACUCCCACCUAUCUCAGCUGGGAAUGCGGCGCGAGCUUUAUUCCGUGAAACACGACCCCAGAGAGCCUCAAGUCCCGGGACAAACUCGUCCCACACAGCAGCUGAGCAUUUAUUGUGGAGGAUAUUUUGGAGGGGAUCGUGCCUUUUCUUUUUUGCUGCCUUCCCUGCCCCGGCCCCGAGGGGGGAGGCGGCCCCGGCUGUGGCGGGCGGCGGUGCUGCCGCCUUGUGGGCAGAAAGAGGUACUGCAGCCCCCCACCAAGGGCCUCACGUGGCCGCCAUCUUGGGAGUGGCUUGUCACGGACUCGCUUGACCUUUCCAACAUGACGGCAAAAAAAAAAAAAAAAAAAGAGCGGGAAAAUCGAGGCGCUUGCUCUGCGUGUUGCCCUGCCGGCACGCCACACAAACGCCGGCACCGCCCCGCCGCGAUUUCCUGCGGCCAUUCCAGUACUUCACGCAUGGGCUGUUGCUUCAGUCGCGCCGCGGGUCUGCGGGUUUCAGGCGGGCGCCGACAGGCAUCGGCAGAUUCGCCUCUCUGUGCCCAGGUCCUGCAGUGGCCGCCAUCCUGGGCAUGCCCUGUGCCUCUGCCGUGCCGCGCGGGGCGCCCGUCCCGUCCCCUCUCAUCCCCUCCCGCCCUGUCCCACGGCCUCCCUGCCAUACAGGUCCGUGCUGAAGAGUGGGAGACAGGUCCCCACUGGUUGCCGUGUCCUUGGUGGGCAGAGAACUCUGACCUCGGCCAGAUGGGCUGUUGCUGUAUGUCUUGGAUGCAAUGCAGAACUGAAUCAGACAGCCCAGCCUCAGGUUCACCUUCUCCCUGACAAUCUACGCUGCUCAUGUGGCACAGCAAAUCCUGAAGCCAGUAUUUGGACCUGAGGAAGGUACCGGGUUUUUUCCAGCUUUUCUACAGUUUUGAUUUUGAGGUAAGAGUCCCAUUUUAGGUAUCCAGUAAUUCUUCAGGAAUGUAUUAAAAACAGCUGUAAAAAUACAAUGAAACCUCAUUCUCCCACAGGUAGUUAAUUAGAAGCAUCUUUCUUAUGUUUCAUAUUGGAAUUAAAAAUGGUAUUUCCAUGGGGUUUUUGUUGUUUUCUUAAUACUAACGCACAAUGAGUUGUGCUGUGUAUGCUCUGUGAGCACAAGAAACAGAAUAUUCUGCCCUGGCUAGCUACAAUUCCUCUUUGAGUUUAGAUUAGUAACACUGAGUUCAACUUAAGUAUUUUAGAAACAGCAACUUCUAAAAUUCCAUUUCCAGUGCAUGUUUGGGCUGCAGACUGAUAUUCCCAAUGGCUGUUAGUGACUAAAUUUGAUAGGAGUGGAAAUGGAGAAGUCCAGAACAAGCUGUGAUAAGCCCUGAGCUGGCACUCAGAGGGAACCAGGGUUUUGUGCUCUUAGGAGCAGUUAUUCUUUGGAAAUGUCUAAAUGUCUGAUAGUGGUAUUUUUCUUUGGCUUCCAGUCCAAAACAGAGCAUGAGUGGAUCCUCAGAUUUCUUGGGGAAGGGCUGCGUGACAAACAUUGCUAUGAGCUUUAUGACUACCAGAGGAUUUUCCAGAUCAUUCUUUCCUUUUUUAACAGUCCUUUGUGUGACGAGGGCUCCCAGGUAAGAAUUUGAAAGGAAAGUUCCAAAAAACCCCAAACCACAGAAGCUUGCAUGGCUUUGAAAUCUCAAGUACCAAACAGAAAGGAGCAGCUGACUCUGUCUUGGUCCUCUUGAAAAUCUGUUCCUUGUCAGUUUUGUGUAUGUGUGGAGGGGGAAAUAAUUGCUUGUGUCUAAACCAGUCCCAUCCUUAUCCCCUGAAACUGGAACAGGUUUCUGCCAUCAUGGAGCCUCACAUGGGUGCCGUAGUUUUGCUCCUGCAGUCGGGGCCUUUUCAUUUUGGCAUCUCUAUUCCCCAGCCAGCACAUUUGUUACCUGAACAGUGCUUCAGCAGGAGGGUAACUCACAUGCCAGAAGCUCUCAGGUUUGGGAGCAUCCACCCUGAGUAUUUCAAGUGUCAAAACCUUGGACAAAAAGAGAAAAUUGUCUUGCUACCUGAAUACUUCUUGUAAGAGCAGCACCUGUAGUAUGAAGCGUUGAAGGGAGAAUGUCUUUCCUUCUCUGGAGUUGCUGAGAACAGUGGUGUUCAUUUUACCUGGAAGUUGAUCAGAUACCAGACAAAUUGCUAAUUUUAAGUUAGAUCAUGAGAUCUCAAUCUCUCUCAUUUUAUUCUCUCUUUCUCUCUCUCCCUCCCUCCCACUCCUGUUUUAUUCUCUCUCUCCUUCCCUCUCCUGUUUUUUUCUCUCUUUCUCUCCCUCCCUCUCUUUCCCUCUCUCCCUCCCUUUCCCUCGGGGUUGCAGUCUCCUUCUCUUUCAAACUCCCGAACCACCAGCCAGAUUUCCCCCCUUGGACCUGUCAUUUCACCCUGAAGUUCGGAACCUCAGCCUUGUGCUGGUCUCUUUCAGGACCCAGACUGCCUGGGCUCUGCAACAAAUCUGCCUCAAAACAAUAGAGACACUAAAACCCAUUCCAAAGGUUCACACCCACAGCUUCCCCCCUCAAACUGUUUGUAAAGACAUGAGCUAUCCUCUCAGAAUCUUCAGCUGCCUUUGGUUUUAUUUUUUUACCAUUGUACCAUUUCAUUUUCAUAUUGAAGUGAAGGAAUCUAUUUCCCCAUUGCCAGGCAAAGAGAGCUUCAGUAUUUUUAUAAUGCUCCUUUCUGAUUCAGUCUUGGUUUUUACAUUCUGCUUGGGGUUUUGCUAGAUAAUAAAGUGGGUCUGAUUCCUUGGGAAAUAAAAUAU